CCCACCUUUAAUCUUAUUCAAUUACAAUGCAAACAUAGUACAGCCACACUUUGAAUAAUUUGAUAGUACAUAAAAAUUUCAAUAUAUAUAUAUAUAUGAGAACCCACAUAAGAGAGUCCAAAAAAAUGUUUCCUGCCCCAUGUGAGUCUCUGUUCUCUCCUAAAUCAAUACACUAGCAUAUGAACUAGUAGGUCACUUUGUCAGUAAUGUCUUGAAGCAACAGAA
rnacentral:misc_RNA from 1 species